rnacentral:rRNA from 1 species
UACGAAGGGGGCUAGCGUUGUUCGGAAUUACUGGGCGUAAAGGGCGCGUAGGCGGCCCGCUAAGUCGAACGUGAAAUCCCUGGGCUCAACCCAGGAACUGCGUCCGAUACUGGCAGGCUUGAAUCCGGGAGAGGGAUGCGGAAUUCCAGGUGUAGCGGUGAAAUGCGUAGAUAUCUGGAGGAACACCGGUGGCGAAGGCGGCAUCCUGGACCGGUAUUGACGCUGAGGCGCGAAAGCCAGGGGAGCAAACGGG